rnacentral:rRNA from 1 species
ACCUUAGCACGGUCAGGAUACAGUGCUAAGGUAGCAUAAUAAUUUGCCUUUUAAUUGAAGGCUGGAAUGAAUGGGUACACGAGACCACCUCUGUCUCUUAAAUAAUAAUUAUAAAUUAGGUUUUAAGUGAACACACUUAAGUGAUAUUAAAGGACAAGAAGACCCCGUUGAGCUUAAGUUAAUAUUACAGCGACAUGUAAUUAAUAUUUUGGUUGGGGCGACAAAGGUUAGAUCUUAAGCAACCUUAUAAAACAGACAUAUUUGUCGUCAUAAUGUCUCGCAAUAGCAAACAGAAGAAAAGCUACCACGGGGAUAACAGGCUAAUCUAUUCAAAGAGUUCCUAUUGAUGAAUGGGUUUGGCACCUCGAUGU